GACGAACGCUGGCGGCGUGCUUAACACAUGCAAGUCGAACGGAAAGGCCCUGCUUUUGUGGGGUGCUCGAGUGGCGAACGGGUGAGUAACACGUGAGUAACCUGCCCUUGACUUUGGGAUAACUUCAGGAAACUGGGGCUAAUACCGGAUAGGAGCUCCUGCUGCAUGGUGGGGGUUGGUAAGUUUCGGCGGUUGGGGAUGGACUCGCGGCUUAUCAGCUUGUUGGUGGGGUAGUGGCUUACCAAGGCUUUGACGGGUAGCCGGCCUGAGAGGGUGACCGGCCACAUUGGGACUGAGAUACGGCCCAGACUCCUACGGGAGGCAGCAGUGGGGAAUAGUGCACAAUGGGCGGAAGCCUGAUGCAGCAACGCCGCGUGCGGGAUGACGGCCUUCGGGUUGUAAACCGCUUUCGCCUGUGACGAAGCGUGAGUGACGGUAAUGGGUAAAGAAGCACCGGCUAACUACGUG
rnacentral:rRNA from 1 species